GGGGGAUAUUUGGAUAAGCCUAUCUCUGGAAUACUUUAUGCGUCAACCAGGAUUCGUCUGCCCAAGGAUGGGUCUGCGGCCUAUCAGGUAGUAGUGGGUGUAAUGUACCCACUAGCCAGCGACGGGUACGGGUUGUGAGAGCAAGAGCCCGGAGAUGGAUUCUGAGACAUGAAUCCAGGCCCUACGGGGCGCAGCAGGCGCGAAAACUUUACAAUGCGGGAAACCGUGAUAAGGGGACACCGAGUGCCAGCAUCAUAUGCUGGCUGUCCGGAUGUGUAAAAUACAUCCGUUAGCAAGGGCCGGGCAAGACCGGUGCCAGCCGCCGCGGUAACACCGGCGGCCCGAGUGGUGAUCGUGAUUAUUGGGUCUAAAGGGUCCGUAGCCGGUUUGGUCAGUCCUCCGGGAAAUCUGAUAGCUCAACUAUUAGGCUUUCGGGGGAUACUGCCAGACUUGGAACCGGGAGAGGUAAGAGGUACUACAGGGGUAGGAGUGAAAUCUUGUAAUCCCUGUGGGACCACCUGUGGCGAAGGCGUCUUACCAGAACGGGUUCGACGGUGAGGGACNAAAGCUGGGGGCACGAACCGGAUUAGAUACCCGGGUAGUCCCANCCGUAAACGAUGCUCGCCUAGGUGUCANGCAUGGCGCCACCGUGUCNGGUGCCGCAAGGAAGCCGUNAAGCCGAGCCAACCUGGGAAGUUCGGNCGCAA
rnacentral:rRNA from 1 species